rnacentral:misc_RNA from 1 species
GAUGAAGAACGUAGCGAAAUGCGAUAAGUAAUGUGAAUUGCAGAAUUCAGUGAAUCAUCGAAUCUUUGAACGCACAUUGCGCCCGCCAGUAUUCUGGCGGGCAUGCCUGUUCGAGCGUCAUUUCAACCAUCAAGCCCCCGGCUUGUGUUGGGGACCUGCGGCUGCCGCAGGCCCUGAAAACCAGUGGCGGGCUCGCUGUCACACCGAGGGUAGUAGAUUUUCAUCUCGCUCAGGGCGUGCUGCGGGUUCCGGCCGUAAAAAGCCUUAUUUACCCAAGGUUGACCUCGGAUCAGGUAGGAAGACCCGCUGAACUUAAGCAUAUCAAUAAGCGGAGGA